GACGGAGGAUGCAAGUGUUAUCCGGAAUCACUGGGCGUAAAGCGUCUGUAGGUGGUUUAAUAAGUCAACUGUUAAAUCUUGAGGCUCAACCUCAAAAUCGCAGUCGAAACUAUUAGACUAGAGUAUAGUAGGGGUAAAGGGAAUUUCCAGUGGAGCGGUGAAAUGCGUAGAGAUUGGAAAGAACACCAAUGGCGAAAGCACUUUACUGGGCUAUGACUGACACUGAGAGACGAAAGCUAGGGUAGCAAAUGGG
rnacentral:rRNA from 1 species